CACUCGAUAUUUCGUAGUUCGUUUGCCCGAUAUUCGCCGGGUUUGUUCAAGUACCAGAGGUUAGACGGUUGCCGCGUGACGAAGGGAACAAAUCGACCAGAGAAGCGAGAACAGUGAUGCGACCCACCCGGAUUGCGUGCGCACUGACGAUCGUGUUCGCCGGUCUCUUUGCAUCGAACUUCGCUUGCGCCCAACGCCCCGAGCGGGGCGGGUCGUCGCAC
rnacentral:ncRNA from 2 species